GAUGAACGCUAGCGGCAGGCUUAACACAUGCAAGUCGAGGGACCGGCAAACGGGUGCGGAACACGUACACAACCUACCUUUAUCAGGGGAAUAGCCCAGAGAAAUUUGGAUUAAUGCCCCAUAGAUAGAGAUGGGUGUGCGUAAGAUUAGCUAGUUGGUAAGGUAACGGCUUACCAAGGCGACGAUCUUUAGCUGAUGUGAGAGCAUGAUCAGCCACACGGGCACUGAGACACGGGCCCGACUCCUACGGGAGGCAGCAGUGAGGAAUAUUGGUCAAUGGACGAAAGUCUGAACCAGCCAUGCCGCGUGAAGGAUGAAGGCGUCUGCGUUGUAAACUUCUUUUAUCUGAGAAGCGGUAUCAGAUGAAUAAGCACCGGCUAACUCCGUGCCAGCAGCCCGGUAAUACGGAGGGUGCAAGCGUUAUCCGGAUUUACUGGGUUAAAGGGUGUGUAGCGGACUUUUAAGUCAGGGGUGAAAUCCCCGAGCUCAACUCGGGAACUGCCUUUGAUACUAUUAGUCUUGAAUUAUGUUGAGGUUGGCGGAAUAUAACAUGUAGCGGUGAAAUGCAUAGAUAUGUUAUAGAACACCGAUUGCGA
rnacentral:rRNA from 1 species